UACCCUUUAGUGGGAUUGCCAUAUUUAUUAACCCCUUAAGGACCAAACUUCUGAAAUAAAAGGGAAUCAUGACAUGUCACACAUGUCAUGUGUCCUUAAGGGGUUAAAGUAGGGUGCUGUAUAACAGAUAGCUACCUUAUUAAUCCUUAAAUAUGGCAAUUCCACAUAAGCAUACCAAAUUAGGAAGUUAUCUACUAAACUACUGAAAGAUCAUAAAAGAUCAGAACAAAACUCUUCUAUAAAUUUUGAUCUUUCAGCUGUAUUUAGAU